UACGUAGGUGGCAAGCAUUAUCCGGAUUUACUGGGCGUAAAGGGUGCGUAGGCGGAUUUUUAAGUGGGAUGUGAAAUACCCGGGCUCAACCUGGGGGCUGCAUUUCAAACUGGAAAUCUAGAGUGCAGGAGAGGAAAGUGGAAUUCCUAGUGUAGCGGUGAAAUGCGUAGAGAUUAGGAAGAACACCAGUGGCGAAGGCGACUUUCUGGACUGUAACUGACGCUGAGGCACGAAAGCGUGGGGAGCAAACAGG
rnacentral:rRNA from 1 species